ACGGGUGAGUAACGCGUGGAUAAUCUACCCAGAUGUUCGGGAUAACGGCGGGAAACUGCCGCUAAUACCGGAUACGCUCCAAUUUCGGUUGGGGGAAAGGCGGCCUCUGCUUGCAAGCUGUCGCAUCUGGAUGAGUCCGCGUCCCAUUAGCUUGUUGGUGGGGUAAUGGCCUACCAAGGCUACGAUGGGUAGCUGGUCUGAGAGGAUGAUCAGCCACACUGGAACUGAAACACGGUCCAGACUCCUACGGGAGGCAGCAGUGGGGAAUAUUGCGCAAUGGGGGAAACCCUGACGCAGCGACGCCGUGUGAGGGAAGAAGGCUUUCGGGUCGUAAACCUCUGUCGGGAGGGAAGAACCUUCCAGGUCUGAACAAGGCCUGGAACUGACGGUACCUCCAAAGGAAGCACCGGCUAACUCCGUGCCAGCAGCCGCGGUAAUACGGAGGGUGCAAGCGUUAAUCGGAAUCACUGGGCGUAAAGCGCGCGUAGGCGGUCUUUUAAGUCGGACGUGAAAGCCCUCGGCUCAACCGGGGAACUGCGUUCGAAACUGGGAGACUUGAGUCCUGGAGAGGGUGGCGGAAUUC
rnacentral:rRNA from 1 species